GGGGAAUAUUGCACAAUGGGGGAAACCCUGAUGCAGCAACGCCGCGUGAGUGAAGAAGGUUUUCGGAUCGUAAAACUCUGUUGUUAGAGAAGAACAAGGAUGAGAGUGGAAAGUUCAUCCCUUGACGGUAUCUAACCAGAAAGCCACGGCUAACUACGUGCCAGCAGCCGCGGUAAUCCGUAGGUGGCAAGCGUUGUCCGGAUUUAUUGGGCGUAAAGCGAGCGCAGGCGGUCUUUUAAGUCUGAUGUGAAAGCCCCCGGCUUAACCGGGGAGGGUCAUUGGAAACUGGGAGACUUGAGUGCAGAAGAGGAAAGCGGAAUUCCAUGUGUAGCGGUGAAAUGCGUAGAUAUAUGGAGGAACACCAGUGGCGAAGGCGGCUUUCUGGUCUGUAACUGACGCUGAGGCUCGAAAGCGUGGGGAGCAAAC
rnacentral:rRNA from 1 species